rnacentral:tRNA from 1 species
GGAAAGAUGUCCGAGUGGUUGAAGGUGUAGACCUGGAACGUCUAUGUGGUAGAAAUAUUACCGAGGGUUCGACUCCCUCUCUUUCCG